UCAAACUGGUGAUGUCACAAGAAAAUAU
rnacentral:piRNA from 1 species